GACGAACGCUGGCGGCGUGCUUAACACAUGCAAGUCGAACGGAAAGGCCCUGCUUUUGUGGGGUGCUCGAGUGGCGAACGGGUGAGUAACACGUGAGUAACCUGCCCUUGACUUUGGGAUAACUUCAGGAAACUGGGGCUAAUACCGGAUAGGAGCUCCUGCUGCAUGGUGGGGGUUGGAAAGUUUCGGCGGUUGGGGAUGGACUCGCGGCUUAUCAGCUUGUUGGUGGGGUAGUGGCUUACCAAGGCUUUGACGGGUAGCCGGCCUGAGGGGGUGACCGGCCACAUUGGGACGGGGAUACGGCCCAGACUCCUACGGGAGGCAGCAGUGGGGAAUAUUGCACAAUGGGCGGAAGCCUGAUGCAGCAACGCCGCGUGCGGGAUGACGGCCUUCGGGUUGUAAACCGCUUUCGCCUGUGACGAAGCGUGAGUGACGGUAAUGGGUAAAGAAGCACCGGCUAACUACGUG
rnacentral:rRNA from 1 species